CUGGUGUCAGCCGCCGCGGUAAAACCAGCACCUCAAGUGGUCAGGAUGAUUAUUGGGCCUAAAGCAUCCGUAGCCGGCUCUGUAAGUUUUCGGUUAAAUCUGUACGCUUAACGUACAGGCUGCCGGGAAUACUGCAAAGCUAGGGAGUGGGAGAGGUAGACGGUACUCGGUAGGAAGUGGUAAAAUGCUUUGAUCUAUCGAUGACCACCUGUGGCGAAGGCGGUCUACCAGAACACGUCCGACGGUGAGGGAUGAAAGCUGGGGGAGCAAACCGGAUUAGAUACCCGGGUAGUCCCAGCUGUAAACUAUGCAAACUCAGUGAUGCAUUGGCUUGUGGCCAAUGCAGUGCUGCAGGGAAGCCGUUAAGUUUGCCGCCUGGGAAGUACGUACGCAAGUAUGAAACUUAAAGGAAUUGGCGGGGGAGCACCACAAGGGGUGAAGCCUGCGGUUC
rnacentral:rRNA from 1 species